rnacentral:lncRNA from 1 species
ACUGUAAAGCAAUGGGUGGUUUUUAUGUGAGAAUUGAGAUUUUUAAGACAAAGUUUACUGCUUUCUUAUGAUUAAUGAAUUCAUCUGAUGUAAAUCCUGUUAAUUAAUUUGUGCAAAAUUUGAUAAUUUUGAACACAUUGUAUUGAGUUUGUUGAAUUAAGUUAGAGAGUUCAUAAGAGAAUAUUCAUAGCAGUUCUGAAUCAGAUCUUGUACUUCAUAACAACAUCAUUGCAGGAAUUUGGUUUUGUUGUGUAAUUUUUUAGUUUCUGAUUCACUUACUUUUGGGUUCUAAUGAAGCUUCCCUGUAAAAUUUUUACCAAAACUAACGAUUCAGCUGCUCGUGAGCUUUAUUUCUGAUGUAAUUUGCAGGAAUUUUGAAUUCUGAACAAAGUUAUAGUUUCUGAUUGCAGGAAUUUUGAAUUCAUAACACAAUCAUUGCAGGAAUUUGGUGUUGUUGUGUGAUUUUUUUUAGUUUCUGUUUCACUUACUUUUGGGUUCUAAUGAAGCUUCCCUGUAAAAUUUUUACCAAAAGUAAAAAAUUCAGCUGCUCAUGAGCUUUAAUUCUGAUGUAAUUUGCAGG